AGAUGGAGGAAUGACAGGAGAGAAAGGUAAUGCAUGCUCACAGAAAUAUCCCUGAAACAAUUCUAGCUGCUUUCCCAAAGCUACGUGCUUCCAAAGAUGUUUGCACAUAGAUUGGCAAAGAACAAGGAUGGGUCAGGCUGGGAGAUAAUUGAGGUCUGGAUGACCUGGGAUUCUCAGCAUGAGGUAGGUGAGGCCUCUGUGACCUCACAAUUGAACCCUGUCCUAGAAAUACAGGUGGUCUUACCUGAGGACAAGCCAGAGUCCAGAAGGAGGGCUUGAACCACAGCAAGUGCAUGUGACUGGGUGACAGCUGCUGAGGCAGAGCCAGCACAUGCCUUGGAACUCCAGUUUCCAAACGACCAGAGGAUGAAGCUCUGAUGUUAUGCUGGUCUCCAGAGUGACAUUCUUAGAAGUCAUUGACUGUAUCAUGGCAGGGCCAGAACUGCUGAAAAUAGACGAAGACUUAGUCAAAGAUUUGUGCAAGCAUGGGAUGGAAAGGAUCGACUACCUACACCCUAAUAUUAAACAGGUACCCUGACCAUGAAAAAUGCUGGACCCCAAAUCAGAAGACAUGGGGACCCAAGAAAUUCCCUGACCCUAAAGAAGCACAGGCCCAGUUAGAGAGGAAACAUAGGCCUGGGCCCAUCAAAUGAAAGAGGCCUGGGCCAGACCAAGAAAAUGAGUGUGCCCAGGCCAAUCCUUACCCUGCAAAGG